GGGCAGUUCGAUCCGCUGACGGGUCAGCAUUAGCAAAGGUAUUGCAGCGACUACUGUUAAACUGCUUCCCUGUGGAACUGCUUCUUAGUCUAGGGAGUUUUUGUGUGACAGGAGACGUAUUCACUUUUAAGAUUCCCAAAGGACUUCAACAUAUCAAGUAUGGAGGGAAAUGAUAGAACCAAUAUGUCAGAGGUCGGCAAUGAAGAAGUUCACUUCGGACAAACAAAUGUUCACAAUUCUCAACAGUCAAACCAAAGGUAUCGUAGGAGCAAUCAACAAAGGCAAAGACAACAAUCUAUGAAUUCAUCACAGCGGACUCGAAUUUCACUGCGACGACGUGCCAAUUAUCAAGCCCGAUUGAACUCGGUAAAUAUAGUACAAAAUCAAACGGAAGUAAACCAAGAUGACAUAGGACCAACAUCAGCGGAGCAACAAGAUGCAUAUGUUACUAAUGAGAGACAAAGCCAACGAGAGCAAUGGCG